ACGGAAGUUACAAAGGGCGCAUGGAGGAUGCCUUGGCUCUUGGCGGCGAGGAAGGACGUGCUAAGCUGCGAAAAGCUGCGGGGAGUUGCACAGAAGCUGUGAUCCGCAGAUGUCCG
rnacentral:rRNA from 1 species